GUUAAUUUUUAGGGCUGAGUAAUAUUCCAUUGUGUAUAAAUGCCACAUUUUUUUUAAUCCAUUCACCCAUUGAAGGGCAUAUAGAUUGGUUCCAUAGUCUAGCUAUUGUGAAUUAUGCUGCUAUAAACAUUGAUGUGGCUGUGUCCCUGUAGUAUGCUCUUUUUAGGUCUUUUGGGUAUAAUUCAAAACAAAUAUUUCCACUCAUUUCUCACAAAAUGCACCUUAUAACUAUAAAGAAUAAAAUUUAUAAUUUGGUACUUCAGAUGUCAAAGACAAAGCUAGCAUUAAAAAAUGCCCAAUUCUAUGUAUUAGAAACUAAAUGAAAUGCAAAAAUAAAG
rnacentral:lncRNA from 1 species